GGGAAACUGCCCGAUGGAGGGGGAUAACUACUGGAAACGGUAGCUAAUACCGCAUAACGUCGCAAGACCAAAGAGGGGGACCUUCGGGCCUCUUACCAUCAGAUGUGCCCAGAUGGGAUUAGCUAGUAGGUGGGGUAACGGCUCACCUAGGCGACGAUCCCUAGCUGGUCUGAGAGGAUGACCAGCCACACUGGAACUGAGACACGGUCCAGACUCCUACGGGAGGCAGCAGUGGGGAAUAUUGCACAAUGGGCGCAAGCCUGAUGCAGCCAUGCCGCGUGUAUGAAGAAGGCCUUCGGGUUGUAAAGUACUUUCAGCGGGGAGGAAGGCGAUAAGGUUAAUAACCUUGUCGAUUGACGUUACCCGCAGAAGAAGCACCGGCUAACUCCGUGCCAGCAGCCGCGGUAAUACGGAGGGUGCAAGCGUUAAUCGGAAUUACUGGGCGUAAAGCGCACGCAGGCGGUCUGUCAAGUCGGAUGUGAAAUCCCCGGGCUCAACCUGGGAACUGCAUUCGAAGCUGGCAGGCUAGAGUCUUGUAGAGGGGGGUAGAAUUCCAGGU
rnacentral:rRNA from 1 species